GACGAACGCUGGCGGCGUGCCUAAUACAUGCAAGUCGAACGCAUUUUCUUUCACCGUAGCUUGCUACACCGAAAGAAAAUGAGUGGCGAACGGGUGAGUAACACGUGGGUAACCUGCCCAUCAGCGGGGGAUAACACUUGGAAACAGGUGCUAAUACCGCAUAAUUCCAUUUACCGCAUGGUAGAUGGAUGAAAGGCGCUUUUGCGUCACUGAUGGAUGGACCCGCGGUGCAUUAGCUAGUUGGUGGGGUAACGGCCUACCAAGGCUGCGAUGCAUAGCCGACCUGAGAGGGUGAUCGGCCACACUGGGACUGAGACACGGCCCAGACUCCUACGGGAGGCAGCAGUAGGGAAUCUUCGGCAAUGGACACAAGUCUGACCGAGCAACGCCGCGUGAGUGAAGAAGGUUUUCGGAUCGUAAAACUCUGUUGUUAGAGAAGAACAAGGAUGAGAGUGGAAAGUCCAUCCCUUGACGGUAUCUAACCAGAAAGCCACGGCUAACUACGUG
rnacentral:rRNA from 1 species